ACCGCUUUGUCUCCAAUGGAAUCAUGAUCGUGGUGUCUCUACUCCGUACUCAUGGAUACCACCAGUACUAGUACUAGUCUAUAUGAUGUCUGCGCAAGAGGGAUCGCGGGAUCUGGAUCUUUGGAGGUGCUGUUGGACAUCUCAUCUCCAGCGCCAGCUUGAAAUACCAUGGCCGCAGAGACACGGCCUGUAUAUAUAUAUAUAUAUAUAUAUUCUGGUUACACAUAGUUAUAUACACCUAACUACCCACCGGGCCUGAGAUUCUUUGCUUACCGAAUCCCGCUGUUCAACAACAGUCAACGCAUUUCACUGCGGAGCAUUUUAUUUCUGUAAGCCACUUCAUGUUCUUUUUUCUUUUCUUUUUUUUCUUUUCUUUCUUUUCUUUUUUUUCUUCUCCGAAUCAAAAAAUAAAUCCCAAACCAACGGCCCUCCCUCCGCUAUGAUAGUAAGAAUCCUUCAUGUGCCAUUUUAUGUCUAGGUACAGAUGCUCCUGCAAAAAGUUUUGUCUCGCUCUACUAAGCACUAAAAACACCACAAUUUUCUUCUGAAAUACACACUGAAAUUAAUACUGAAGAUUCUGUAUCUCAUUCUUUUUUUAUCAUUCAAAUUAAUAAAAAUCCACUCUAUUCAAGCUUGAAUCUGCUUCUGUGGUAGAUUUCUCUAUGUUCUUUUCCAUAUUACUAUAGCUGCUGCCCAGUUCUGUGAAGCUUCUUUGACAGUUGUUUUUUGUUUCAUCCAGAUUCAAGCAGGUUCAAUCAUAUUGAGAUCUGAGGAAUUCACACACCAGAGCAUCUGUUGAAUGUGAUGAAUCUCAUAUAUAUGAUGUUGAAUAUAGUGAUCAUGAGCAGGAGCUUGAUCCUUCUGAACAAUGAUAUUUGAAUAUUUCUUUUCACACUCAUUGAUAAAGGGAAAGAGCUUUGGAAGAAGGAUUUUGAUCUGAUAUUGAUAUCAAUCAAUUCCAUUACUUUUGCUAUGGGAUAGUUUGUCUGUUUCUUUCUUCCACUUUCAUAUUGAUUGAGGUUCUGGCAGU
rnacentral:sRNA from 1 species